GACGAACGCUGGCGGCGCGCCUAACACAUGCAAGUCGAACGAGCGAGAGAGAGCUUGCUUUCUCAAGCGAGUGGCGAACGGGUGAGUAACGCGUGAGGAACCUGCCUCAAAGAGGGGGACAACAGUUGGAAACGACUGCUAAUACCGCAUAAGCCCACAGGUCGGCAUCGACCAGAGGGAAAAGGAGCAAUCCGCUUUGAGAUGGCCUCGCGUCCGAUUAGCUAGUUGGUGAGGUAACGGCCCACCCAGGCAACGAUCGGUAGCCGGACUGAGAGGUUGAACGGGCAGACGGGAACUGAGGCAGGGUGGAGACGCCUAGGGGGAGCAGCAGUGGGGAAUAGUGGGGAAGGGGGGCAAGGCUGAUGUAGACAGAGCGGGUGGGCGAAGAAGGACUGCGGGUUGUAAAGCGCUGUUGUUGGGAAAGAAAAGCAGCAGGUUAGUACCCCGCGGUUCUGACGGUACCCAACGAAUAAGCAACGGCUAACUGCGUG
rnacentral:rRNA from 1 species